GAUGAACGCUGGCGGCGUGCCUAAUACAUGCAAGUCGAGCGAACAGACGAGGAGCUUGCUCCUCUGACGUUAGCGGCGGACGGGUGAGUAACACGUGGAUAACCUACCUAUAAGACUGGGAUAACUUCGGGAAACCGGAGCUAAUACCGGAUAAUAUAUUGAACCGCAUGGUUCAAUAGUGAAAGACGGUUUUGCUGUCACUUAUAGAUGGAUCCGCGCCGCAUUAGCUAGUUGGUAAGGUAACGGCUUACCAAGGCAACGAUGCGUAGCCGACCUGAGAGGGUGAUCGGCCACACUGGAACUGAGACACGGUCCAGACUCCUACGGGAGGCAGCAGUAGGGAAUCUUCCGCAAAGGGCGAAAGCUUGACGGAGCAACGCCGCGUGAUUGAUGAAGGUCUUCGGAUCGUAAAACUCUGUUAUUAGGGAAGAACAAAUGUGUAAGUAACUAUGCACGUCUUGACGGUACCUAAUCAGAAAGCCACGGCUAACUACGUG
rnacentral:rRNA from 1 species